GACAGAGGGUGCAAACGUUGUUCGGAAUUACUGGGCGUAAAGCGCAUGUAGGCGGCCAAGCAGGUCGGAUGUGAAAUCCCUCGGCUCAACCAAGGAAGUGCAUUCGAAACCGCAUGGCUGGAGUCCCGGAGAGGGUAGUGGAAUUCUCGGUGUAGAGGUGAAAUUCGUAGAUAUCGAGAGGAACACCGGCGGCGAAAGCGGCUACCUGGACGAGGACUGAGCGCAUG
rnacentral:rRNA from 1 species